UGGUGAGUAACAGGUGGGUAAUGUGCCCUGAAGUGGGGGAUAACACCGGGAAACCGGUGCUAAUACCGCAUGUGAUCAUCGAAACCCUGGUUUUGAUGGUUAAAGUAGCAAUACGCUUCAGGAUCGGCCCGCCCCCGAUUAGCUAGUUGGUGAGGUCAUGGCUCACCAAGGCGACGAUCGGUAGCUGGUCUGAGAGGAUGGUCAGCCACACUGGGACUGAGAUACGGCCCAGACUCCUACGGGGGGCAGCAGUCUAGAGGCUUCGGCAAUGGGGGCAACCCUGACCGAGCGACGCCGCGUGUGGGAUUGAAGGCCUUCGGGUCGUAAACCACUGUCAUUGGGAAAGAAUGCCCGGAUGGCGAAUCCGGGAGAGACGGUACCCAAGAAGGAAGCCCCGGCUAACUCCGUGCCAGCAGCCGCGGUAAUACGGAGGGGGCAAGCGUUGUUCGGAUUUACUGGGCGUAAAGGGUGUGUAGGCGGUUGCGUAAGUCUGGUGUGAAAUCUUCACCGCUUAACGGGAAGAGGUCACUGGAAACUGCGUAACUCGGGUAUGG
rnacentral:rRNA from 1 species